UGUACGUUAGGACAAUCAAUAUGCCAGUCGGGUAAGGAGAGAAAACUCCUGAAAAUAUUGGUCAAUUCAGGCACACGAUGGAAUUCAUUUACCUCCAGGUAAUACGGGAGGGAGACGUAAAGGCUACCAUUCCUGGCGAAGAUUUGAUAAGAAUCAGUAGCGGAUAUCGUUGAAAAAGGGAUAUCGAUGUCCCACUAAAUCACCGCGCUGAGCCUUGCCUUUGGGAUGCAUUUAAAGUAAUCGUGUAAUGAUAUUAUGAUUCCCUCAUCAUGUCUUUAUUUUUGAGAAAUAAUUAUAUCAGAGAUUUAUAACAAAAAAAAGGCGCGUUUUAAGCUCUCGUUUCCUCUGGCUAAUUUAUUGCAGCGGAGAGAGCGCCUGGAUAAGGUCCUCGCCCCUUCACUCGCUUUUCCGUAAUGUAGGAAUUCAUCGCGGCCAAUUACAUAUAAACUUGGGACAAUUUGUCAGCUUGAUUUGUAUUUCAGUUAAUUGUGAAAGUAAUUAGGAAUACAAGAGCCGGAAAAGGGACCCGGGUUGAUUUUUUUUUCUGUCUCUCUGCUCUCUCCCUCUUCUCCUUUAAGCCAAAUUGCACAGAAAUUAAUUUUCUGCUAGCCUUUUCAUCUGGGCCAGCCGCAGAAUCACAAGCGAUAAAUCAGCCUGAUGGGUGGUGGCGGCGGCGGCGCUAAAUGGCUUCAUAUAUCACUGCGUUUAAUAGGAAUCAUCAGAGGCUGGUUAAUGAAAUUAAACUGAACAGAAGGUGUUAGCCCCCCUUGAAGGCCGGGAGAUUUUUUAUAUGUGAAAGAGACAGCAGAAGCUGAAGGAAAACUGUGCAAAAAAAAACCCCAAAAGAUGCGCCAUAUAUUUUCAGAACUGCUGCGUCUUCCAAUCUCUUUAUUCUGAUAGUGCUCUCUCUCUCUCUCUAUCUCUCAGUCUGGGCUUUCACCUUUUCGUUCACUGUCUGGUCCUCAAAUCCAAUCCUUUAAUGUUGGGGACCUGUUGCACACAUUAUGAAAAAUGUAAAGAAGGGGUAAAAGAUCUAUAUCUCCCCAGCUAGCUAUUUACAUGUCUUUUAAUACCACAAUAAAGCCAGGGAAUGUGUAUCCAA